rnacentral:tRNA from 1 species
GGAGAGGUGGCCGAGUGGUCGAAGGCGCAGCACUGGAAAUGCUGUAACGGGGCAACUCGUUCGAGGGUUCGAAUCCCUCCCUCUCCG